GCAUAUCUUUUAUUGUGGUGGAAAAAGAAACCCAACAGAGAUUGCCCCUAGUAACGGCGAGUGAAGCGGCAACAGCUCAAAUUUGAAAUCUGGCUCUCGGGCCCGAGUUGUAAUUUGUAGAGGAUACUUUUGAUGCGGUGCCUUCCGAGUUCCCUGGAACGGGACGCCAUAGAGGGUGAGAGCCCCGUCUGGUUGGAUGCCAAAUCUCUGUAAAGUUCCUUCAACGAGUCGAGUAGUUUGGGAAUGCUGCUCUAAAUGGGAGGUAUAUGUCUUCUAAAGCUAAAUACCGGCCAGAGACCGAUAGCGCACAAGUAGAGUGAUCGAAAGAUGAAAAGCACUUUGAAAAGAGAGUUAAAAAGUACGUGAAAUUGUUGAAAGGGAAGCGUUUAUGACCAGACUUGGGCUUGGUUAAUCAUCUGGGGUUCUCCCCAGUGCACUUUUCCAGUCCAGGCCAGCAUCAGUUUUCCCCGGGGGAUAAAGGCGGCGGGAAUGUGGCUCUCUUCGGGGAGUGUUAUAGCCCACCGUGUAAUACCCUGGGGGGGACUGAGGUUCGCGCAUCUGCAAGGAUGCUGGCGUAAUGGUCAUCAACGACCCGUCUUGAAACACGGACCAAGGAGUCGUCUUCGUAUGCGAGUGUUCGGGUGUCAAACCCCUACGCGUAAUGAAAGUGAACGCAGGUGAGAGCUUCGGCGCAUCAUCGACCGAUCCUGAUGUUCUCGGAUGGAUUUGAGUAAGAGCAUACGGGGCCGGACCCGAAAGAAGGUGAACUAUGCCUGUAUAGGGUGAAGCCAGAGGAAACUCUGGUGGAGGCUCGCAGCGGUUCUGACGUGCAAAUCGAUCGUCAAAUAUGGGCAUGGGGGCGAAAGACUAAAUCGAAACCUUUCUAGGUAGCUGGGUUUCCCGCCGAAG
rnacentral:rRNA from 1 species